AUGGACUCAGACACACAAGCUCAAUCAAAUGAUAGAGAUUUGCAAUCUAGUCUUCCUCCACGUGCACCAUCAACAUUGGGUAAACGAAAACCUAAUAGAUUAACUUCUUAUGUUUGGGAUCACUUCACUCUAUUGGGCUCAAGGGAUGAUUCAGAUGUGAAGUGUAAAUGUAAUUAUUGUGGAGUAGAUUAUACUUGUGGUACUAAGAAGUGUGGUACUAGUACAUUGAGUAAUCAUUUGACAAAUCAUUGUAAGAAGUAUCCAGGUAGAUUAGUGGAUAAGAAGCAAAAAACCUUAUCAUUUGAGAACAAGAAAGAGGGUGGAGGGAGCAAUCUUAUUGUUGUUGGUCAAACCAAGGAAGAGUGUAGAGUUGCAUGUGCUAAAAUGAUAGUUUUGAAUGAAUUACCUUUUAAGUUUGUUGAAGCUCGUGGUUUUAGGCUCUUUUGUAGUGUAGCAUGUCCUCAAUUUCAGGCUCCAUCUCGUAGGACUCUUGUUAGAGAUAUUUAUCAGUUGUAUUUAGAUGAAAAAUUGAAAUUGAGAGAUGCAUUUUCUUUUAACCGUCAAAGGGUUUCACUUACAACUGAUACUUGGACUUCUAUUCGGAAUAUUAAUUACAUGUCUCUUACAGCACACUACGUUGAUCUUGAUUGGACGCUUAAUAAACAUAUUUUGAGUUUUUAUGUUGUUCUAAAUCAUAAGUGAGAAACAAUUGGAAAAAUGAUUGAGUCUUGCUUGUAUGAUCG
rnacentral:lncRNA from 1 species